ensembl:miRNA
GGUCUCGCUAUGCAGCUCAGGCUGGCCUUGAGCUCACUUUGUAGCCCAGGCUGGUCUUGAACUUGCAACGAUCCUCCUGCCUCAACCUCCCGAGUGCUGGGAUUACAGGCAUGCGCCACCAUGCCCG